AGAGGGKGCAAGSGUUAAUYGGAUUUACUGGGCGUAAAGGGUGCGUAGGUGGUUUUUUAAGUCGGAUGUGAAAGCCUGGGGCUCAACCUCAGAAUUGCAUUCGAUACUGGGAAACUAGAGUUCGGUAGAGGGCGGCGGAAUUUCCGGUGUAGCGGUGAAAUGCGUAGAUAUCGGAAGGAACACUCAAUGGCGAAGGCAGCCGCCUGGGCCUGGACUGACACUGAGGCACGAAAGCGUGGGUAGCAAACAGGAUUAGAUACCCUGGUAGUCCACGCCGUAAACGAUGAGAACUUGACGUUGGUUCGUUUUACGAAUCGGUGUCGCAGCUAACGCGAUAAGUUCUCCGCCUGGGGAGUACGGCCGCAAGGUUG
rnacentral:rRNA from 1 species